rnacentral:rRNA from 1 species
GACGAACCGUGCGAACGUUGUUCGGAUUCACUGGGCUUAAAGGGCGCGUAGGCGGGUGAUCAAGUCCGGGGUGAAAUCCUUCAGCUCAACUGGAGAAUAGCCUUGGAUACUGGUCGCCUCGAGGGAGGUAGGGGCGGGCGGAACUUCCGGUGGAGCGGUGAAAUGCGUAGAUAUCGGAAGGAACGCCGGUGGCGAAAGCGGCCCGCUGGACCUCUUCUGACGCUGAGGCGCGAAAGCCAGGGGAGCGAACGGG